rnacentral:lncRNA from 1 species
AAGUUUUGAAGGUGUAUUGUCUUGGGAAAUCUUGAGAUAAGUGGUACAAUCAAAAGUUUAAUAGUAAUCCUAUGGUCUAACCGAAAAUAAUAUCAAAUAAUAUCACUGAAAGUUAUAAGUUGUAAAUAAUAUCAAAUAUAUAAUGAAUUGGAUAAUUUUACCCUUAACCACUUAAACAAACAUCGUUUAAAAAAUAUGUAUAAAAAUUGGACAUGGAAGGAUUUACACCCUACAUCUUCAUUCAUUCGUGCCGUAGCCAACUCUAGACAUUCCUCUCUCUUUCUCAAGCUCAUGUGCAAUUAACUCUACAAUCGCCAUCGACUUCGCCACAAACACCUAUAUGGUCCUCAUCUUCGACUUCCACCCAAUCUCUCUCUUCACAUAUGUAAUGAUUUACAUGCUUAAUAGUAGUAAAAUUUUAGGACAUAACAUAAUUAGUCCAACAAAACUAAUUUAAUGGUUACGGGAGUACAAGUCUAGCAUGUUUAAGGUGUAACUCGAAUAUGCUUGCAGUGUAAGUUGAAUAUACAACUUAGCUCUAUGGACCUAUUAAUUAAACUCAACUGAAUGAAAUUGAAGCAACAACACAUGCUUGCUGACAAAUCUGACAUGCUCAAGAUACAAGUCAUGUGUAUGCAAGUUGGAUAUUCAUAAACCCAAUUCAACUCCAUAUGGACCUACUAAUUAAAUUCAUUGAACAAAAGUGUUCAACUGGUUAAAAUUGGAGCACAACACAUGCUUGCUUAGGUGCAAGUUGUGUGUGUUAUAAGUGCAAGUUGGAUAUACUAUGGUAGAAGUCGGACAUGCCAAAGACAAGGCCAAAUAUAGGGCAAACUAUAGAGUCGACCGCGCACGAAAGAGAGAGGGAAAGCGCGAAUAAAUGAAGAAAAUGUAAUAUGCAAAUUCUUAUUUGCUCAAUUUUUAUACAAAUUUUCAAAUCGACGUUGUUUAAAUAAUCUAGAAUAAAAUCAUAAAUAUAUAUUUAAUAUUAUUUAUAACUCACUACCCAAGUGAUUAUUUGCAGUCAUAACCACAUAAUCAUUUCCAGUCAUGACAACUGAAUUGAUAUUAUCACUUGGUCUGGUUCUAAAUUUUUUCCCCAUAUUUUGAUUCUUUAAAAAGUUAAAUUAUCUAAAAUAAACAAACAAAUUAGUUCCAAAGAGUAUUAAUAAAAUAGAGAAAUAAUUUAAUUUAAAACAACCUAAAUUUCAUUACAAAAUGGCCAAAAUAUAGUUUGGCUGGGUAGUUGGCACUUGGCAGCAUUGAUCUCCAAACACUUCCAACCCAAAAUGAUCCCUCAAAAGAAGAUCAAAAACAAAAAAAAAAAAAAAAAGUAAGAUUAACCCAAAAUUUUACAUUUCUUAAAAUUACUAUGAAAAGAGGGUGAGGCUCAGAUCCGUUAAAGACCAGGCCACAAUCCGAUUCCGCCAUGGCUGCAACAACAGUUGCCUGAUGAGAGAGAGAAAACCACUCUCCCUCACAGUCCAUCUGGGUUGCCCCGCCAAGAAACGGAUCGGAUUCCCGAUGCCCGGCUCGUGCGCUCAGAAUAAAGCUCAUCGUCACAGCCUCGAUUUUAUUUUAUUUUUUUUGGGAAAUGGUCAACAACGAGGACCUGUUUGGCUGUAUUUGUCAAGAAACCUCAAGGAGAUCAGUGAAAUUUACCGAAGCUGUUUUACCAGCAACAGCAAUAACAGCGCGACGGACGAAAAGAAUGCGGCGGUGGAACGAGUCCACUCGCCGCCGCCGCCGCCACCACACACACAAUCACAGAGAGAGAGAGAGAGAGAGAGGCUAGAUGUGGAUGCUCUUGAGAGCUGUUGAUUCUGUUGAGGAGAAAUCAUUGGCAGCGAUGAUCUGUGGAGAGAUCAUCGUUUUGUGGUGGAGAGGGGCAACCAGCCUCAGAAGCAACCCGUCUCUCCGCCGGAGCCUCAUUCUUGAACCUAGCCCUAGUUUCUGCUUCUUGCCCCGCAUUUAUAGUGUCUCUAAC